rnacentral:rRNA from 1 species
UACGGGGGGUGCGAGCGUUGUCCGGAAUCACUGGGCGUAAAGCGCACGUAGGCGGAUCGAUCAGUCAGGGGUGAAAUCCCAGGGCUCAACCCUGGAACUGCCUUUGAUACUGUCGAUCUGGAGUAUGGAAGAGGUGAGUGGAAUUCCGAGUGUAGAGGUGAAAUUCGUAGAUAUUCGGAGGAACACCAGUGGCGAAGGCGGCUCACUGGUCCAUUACUGACGCUGAGGUGCGAAAGCGUGGGGAGCAAACAGG